UACAGAGGGUGCGAGCGUUGUCCGGAAUCACUGGGCGUAAAGGGCGCGUAGGUGGCCUGAUAAGUAGGGGGUGAAAUCUCGAGGCUCAACUUCGAGGCUGCCUCCUAAACUGUCAGGCUUGAGCAGAGUAGAGGCAGGUGGAAUUCCCGGUGUAGCGGUGAAAUGCGUAGAUAUCGGGAGGAAUACCAGUGGCGAAGGCGGCCUUCUGGACGGAUACUGACGCUGAGGCGCGAAAGCCAGGGGAGCAAACGGGG
rnacentral:rRNA from 1 species